rnacentral:rRNA from 1 species
AGAGUUUGAUCCUGGCUCAGAUUGAACGCUGGCGGCAGGCUUAACACAUGCAAGUCGAACGGUAACAGGAAGGAAGCUUGCUUUCUUUGCUGACGAGUGGCGGACGGGUGAGUAAUGCUUGGGAAUCUGGCUUAUGGAGGGGGAUAACUACGGGAAACUGUAGCUAAUACCGCGUAAUAUCUUCGGAUUAAAGGGUGGGACCGUAAGGCCACAUGCCAUAAGAUGAGCCCAAGUAGGAUUAGGUAGUUGGUGGGGUAAAGGCCUACCAAGCCGACGAUCUCUAGCUGGUCUGAGAGGAUGACCAGCCACACUGGAACUGAGACACGGUCCAGACUCCUACGGGAGGCAGCAGUGGGGAAUAUUGCACAAUGGGGGGAACCCUUGAUGCAGCCAUGCCGCGUGAAUGAAGAAGGCCUUCGGGUUGUAAAGUUCUUUCGGUGAUGAGGAAGGCGGUUGUUUUAAUAGAACAAUCGAUUGACGUUAGUCACAGAAGAAGCACCGGCUAACUCCGUGCCAGCAGCCGCGGUAAUACGGAGGGUGCGAGCGUUAAUCGGAAUGACUGGGCGUAAAGGGCACGCAGGCGGUGACUUAAGUGAGAUGUGAAAGCCCCGGGCUUAACCUGGGAAUUGCAUUUCAUACUGGGUCGCUAGAGUAUUUUAGGGAGGGGUAGAAUUCCACGUGUAGCGGUGAAAUGCGUAGAGAUGUGGAGGAAUACCGAAGGCGAAGGCAGCCCCUUGGGAAUAUACUGACGCUCAUGUGCGAAAGCGUGGGGAGCAAACAGGAUUAGAUACCCUGGUAGUCCACGCUGUAAACGCUGUCGAUUUGGGGAUUGGGCUUUAAGCUUGGUGCCCGUAGCUAACGUGAUAAA